GACGAACGCUGGCGGCGUGCCUAAUACAUGCAAGUUGAACGAUGACGCUUUGUGCUUUCACCAUUAUGGAUAGCGGCUGACGGGUGAGUGACGCGUGGAUAAUCUUCUUUUUUUCGGUGGACAACAUCUUGAAACGAAUUCUACUACCACAUAAUACCUUUAAACAUAGGUUUUAAGUUUUAUAGAUACAAUUCCAUCACUCAUGGAUCAUCCCGCGUUUGAUUAGCUAGUUGGUUAGGGAAAGGCUCACCAAGGCGAAGGUACAUAGCCGACCUGGGUGGGAGAAGCGGCAACAUGGGACUGAGAAAAGGCCCAAGAUUCCUAGGGGAGCAGCAGUAGGGGAUCAUUGGAAAUGGACGAAAGGCUGACCGAAGAAAGACGGGUGAGUGAAGAAGGUUUUCGGAUUGUAAAACUCUGUUGGUAGAGAAGAACGAUGAGGAGAGUGGAAAGCUGAUGAAGUGACGGUAACUAGAGAGAAAGGGACGGCUAACUACGUG
rnacentral:rRNA from 1 species